UGGCCGGCGUCGCGUUCUCUCUCGUACCGCCGAAGCUCAGUCUCGGCAGUGUCACUCGCGCCCUUGACCAGCGAGCCCGCUGGAAUUUAGUGACUGGGAUCGACGUCGCCGUUCGCAGUAAAGGGGAGCGCACAGACUCGGGGAAGGUCCCGUUCUCUGGUGAGGAGGUGGCCGCCCGCGCUCUGGAAGCAGGGGGAACUGGCUCCUCCUGGGGAGGAGAGUGCCUGGGGUAAGAAGCUCGGAGAUCAUCCUGACGUCACUGCAACCAUGAUUUCACCAGGCUUGUGCACUGUGAGGUUAUCGCGAUCUGAAAUCUCUGCUGCUGGAAAGAGGAAUUUAUUCACAAGACUCUAA
rnacentral:lncRNA from 1 species